rnacentral:lncRNA from 1 species
CAUAUAACUUUUAUGGGACCCAUAUAAAUUUUAACCAAUAAAAAAGAGUGUGUUAGAGUGUGUUUGUUAUUGGAGUGUGUUGCUAGCACUCCUCUUUUUGUUAAACAUAUUAAUUGUCCAGUACGUCUCUGAUACGCGUAUCAGUCAUUUUUUUUAAAUAUAUUAAUUGCCUGAUACUUCUCCGAUACGCGUAUCGGGACAUAUCAAACGUGUAUCGGUAUUGGGACAUAUCAAAUGAGUAUAGGUAUCGGAUACACAUCGGACACAAUUUUUCGUCAUUUUUAAAGUAUCAGGACUUCACAUAUCCACACUAAUCCACGCAAUAUCAAAUGCCUCUGCGUGUAUACCUUGCAACCUAAUUUUAAAUCAGCAAACUUGAGUAUGUUAAUGUUUCCUACUACCAUACCUUUGUUCUCAACAUUAAUUCUUCUAUCAUUAUUGAUCAAUGGCGUGACACUACACCUACUUGUACCUCUAUAUUAGCAACAAACACCAAUAGUCAAUGUCUAAUCUCUUCAUCAUCAGAAAAACUUUCAAUACGGUGAUCAACACACAAAUCUACCAACAAAUAUAUUGUGAUUCAGUCACACGAUCGCACUAAUGAAUCAGAGUUGUUUCAACUUUGAACCAUUAAUUAUGAUAUCACCAAAGAAUGCAAAACAAACACUAUGAUACAUUAUCCGAAUCAUAGCAUUAACACAAUAAUCUUUUGCUUAUGUUUUUUAUUUUUGGUUUCUUUGUUAGAUUUAAAUCACUAAAUUAGGAUUAAACACAUAUACAUGCUCAACAUAUUAUGACAUAUACUUUAGUGCGGAAACAAAAUAGUCAUAGAAACAUGUAUAAAAUUAUAGGAUCGACAAGAUGAUCUUUAGGAAUACCUGGAUCCAUGAUGAAAAGUUAUUUUGCAGUGAUCCUGAAACACAAAGAGAUGGUGGCUAGAUUGGUUCUUCCUCAACCGGUACCCUGAUGCCUUGAUUCUCUUCAGAUGGGGAGAAGAGAGUGUUUGCUUUCGUACGGUGUAUUGGGG